rnacentral:rRNA from 1 species
UACGGAGGGUGCAAGCGUUAAUCGGAAUUACUGGGCGUAAAGCGUGCGUAGGCGGUUCGUUAAGUCUGUUGUGAAAGCCCCGGGCUUAACCUGGGAACUGCGUUUGAUACGGAUGGGCUAGAGUUCGGGAGAGGAGAGUGGAAUUCCCAGUGUAGAGGUGAAAUUCGUAGAUAUUGGGAAGAACACCGGUGGCGAAGGCGGCUCUCUGGACCGAUACUGACGCUGAGGCGCGAAAGCGUGGGGAGCAAACAGG